AACGAACGCUGGCGGCAUGCCUAACACAUGCAAGUCGAACGAGACCUUCGGGUCUAGUGGCGCACGGGUGCGUCACGCGUGGGAACCUGCCCUUAGGUUCGGAAUAACUCAGAGAAAUUUGAGCUAAUACCGGAUGAUGUCUUCGGGCCAAAGAUUUAUCGCCUUUAGAUGGGCCCGCGUUGGAUUAGCUAGUUGGUGGGGUAAAGGCCUACCAAGGCGACGAUCCAUAGCUGGUCUGAGAGGAUGAUCAGCCACACUGGGACUGAGACACGGCCCAGACUCCUACGGGAGGCAGCAGUGGGGAAUAUUGGACAAUGGGCGAAAGCCUGAUCCAGCAAUGCCGCGUGAGUGAUGAAGGCCUUAGGGUUGUAAAGCUCUUUUACCCGAGAUGAUAAUGACAGUAUCGGGAGAAUAAGCUCCGGCUAACUCCGUG
rnacentral:rRNA from 1 species